rnacentral:piRNA from 1 species
UUGUGUCACAAAUGGGCUCUGUGUGGGUC